GUUCAAUCACAGCAAAAAGUGAAGUGAAGUGAAGUCGCUCAGUCGUGUCUUUGCGACCCCAUGGACUGUAGCCUACCAGGCUCCUCCCUCCAUGUGAUUCUCCAGGCAAGAGUACUGGAGUGGGUUGCCAUUUCCUUCUCCAGGGGAUCUUCCCGACCCAGGGAUCGAACCUGGGUCUCCGCAUUUCAGGCAGACGCUUUAACCUCUGAGCCACCAGGGAAGCCCAAUCCCAGCAAAGGAUGUAAUCAACUGUGCCCACUACGAAGCCUGGAUUAAAAACUCUUGAAAACAGUGAGGUUCAGGGAGGUUCCAAAUUUGUGAACACAUUCAUGGGCUGAGAGGGUGGCACACCCAGAGGUGGCACAGACUCUCUGUGCCCCCAACUUCCUACUUACCCUAUAGAGUUGUAACAUUCAUAAUACAUUUGUCUUAUCCUGAGUUGUAUCAUUUAUAAUUAAGCGGUGCCGUCAACCCUCUAUAACCACAGGUUUCAAAUCAGGAGAUUCGAGUAGCUGCUAAUUGAAGGUCAGUGGCUGAUUGAAUCUGCAGAUGCGAAACCAGCGCACAUUUGGAAGAUUUACUGUAAUCACAGGCCUGGCGCCAUUUUACAUCUGGGGCCUGCUCAUUGGUGAAUUUUGGUACCUGUUGCUGCUGCUGCUAAGUUGCUUCAGUCGUGUCCGACUCUGUGCGACCCCAUAGACGGCAGCCCACCAGGCUUCCCUGUCCCUGGGAUUCUCCAGGCAAGAACAUUGGAGUGGGUUGCCAUUUCCUUCUCCAUUGUGUGAAAGUAAAAAGUGAAAGUGAAGUCGCUCAGUCCUGUCCGACUCUUCGCGACCCCAUGGACUGAGGGGUCUCCCAAAAUCAGUCCCCUGAGGAUGCUGAGGAACGACUAUAAUUAUCUUUGCUGUGAACAUUCUUCUGCAUGGCUUCUGGUGCACAAGUGCAAGAGUUUCUCAGGAUUUAUCUGGGAGUAGAAUUCCUGGGUAUGCACACUCAGGGAUGCUUUUUUAGCUUAAGCUCCUGAUGCGUCUUUCUUAACGGGUGACGAAACUACGUUGGAGAAGUUAAGUAAUUUGCCCAAGGUGACGCAGCUGAAUCUAAAGGAAUUAGACAAACAGAGAAGGGAGACUCCUGGUCCACACAGAUGAGUGACCACGCUGGCUCCGAGACCACUGUCAGGAGGUGGAGAAAACACCAACAGGCAUUUGAUUUGCUCUCAGGAACCAGGAGCACAUGGGUAGUCAAGAUUUGAAAAGGAGAGUGAAACAGUGUUCUGCAGAAACUUCUAAAGCUGUCAGGGAUCAGAAACUCUUCAAUUCCAACCUCAUACUGAAAUUUAACAUCCUUCAUUAAAUAUGUGGAAUUUUAAAUAAAUGUUACCUAUAUUCACACCAUACUUUCUCUGAUAGAAUGUUUGUAUCAUUUACUUAUCCUUUCAACUUUUAAUGCGGCCACGGAUUUUUAAGAGCUAAUCAGAAUUCCCUAAUAUGGUGAUUUUAAUAAGUAUUUUUC
ensembl:lncRNA